rnacentral:rRNA from 1 species
UUUUGUGAAUUGAAACAUCUCAGUAACAAAAGAAUAGAAAUCAAACGAGAUUCCGUAAGUAGUGGCGAAUGAAAGCGGACAAGCCUUUUAACAAAAAAACAAUUAAGUUUAAACCAAAGAGGGUUCAAGUCCCGUAAGUUGUUUAAUUUGUUAUUUUUUAGUAAACUUAAAAAUGUUAGUUAAGUUGAACAUAGGAGAACCAUCUUCUCAGGCUAAAUAAAUUGUAUUGAUCGUUAGCGUAUAAGUACCGUGAGGGAAAGACUUAAAUUUAAAUGCUGAUAAACAGUAGGAGUAGUAUUUUACUAUGACUGCGUACUUUUUGUAUAACGGACCAGAGAGUUUAAAAGUUGAGCAAGCUUAAGCUUAAAAAGUGUAGGCGCAGUGAAAGCAAACUUUAAAAAGUUAUAGUUCAGUUUUUAAGACCCGAAACCAAAUGAUCUAACCAUGGCCAAGGUGAAGGUAAAUGAGAAUUUACUGGAGGCCUGAACUUGUACCUGUUGCAGUAGGUUAAGACGAGCCGUGGUUAGGGGUGAAAGGCUAAUCAAAUUUGGAGUUAGCUGGUUUUCUGCGAAAUUUAUUUAGGUAAAGCGUACUUUUAUUUUUUGUGUGGGGUAGAGUACUUUUUAAAAAAAGGGGAGUAAAAUCUUACUGACUUUAAAAAAACUCCGAAUACGCACAAAUUUUUUAGUGCAGACAGACUUUGAGCAAUAAGGUUCUAGGUCGAAAGGGAAACAGCCCAGACUAAUAAAUAAGGCCCUUAAACCUUUUUUAGUGCAAAAAACAGUUGACAAUCAAUGACAGUUGAGAGGUAGGCUUGGAAGCAGCCAUCCUUUAAAGAAAGCGUAGUAGCUCAAGAACUGAGAUUUUUAGCGUUGAAGAUGUACGGGACUUAAAAAAGGUGCCGAAUUUGUAGCAGCAAGUUAAAUUACUUGCUGGGUAGCAGAACGUUUUGUAACAAUAAGCUUAGUUGUAAAAUUAAGCUGCAAGUAUCAAAAGCGAAAAUUCUGGUAUGAGUAACGUUAAUUUGUUACAAAAAAUAACAAACGCCGUAAGCUGAAGGUUUCUUACGCAAAUGUUCGACAUCGUAAGGUUAACCGGUUUCUAAGCUUUGAAAUGAAAAUUUUAAGCGAUGA